GAUGACUGAAAGAAUGAUGGAAAUUAGUGCAACUAUUGGAAUAGUGAUGAUUUAAAGAUAUUCUAAGGCUGAUUAGAACAAGUUUGAAAUAAUGGCAGCAUAACUAAUAGGGCUAGUGAAUUUAUAGAUUAUGGAAGAUGAAGUAGAAUGGAUUAGGAUACUUGAAACUAAAACAUUGAUCAUUUUUAGAUUAUUUUAUAAAUUAAGUAAAUUGAUGGUAUCUAGCUAGUUUUGGAGAUUUU
rnacentral:lncRNA from 1 species